rnacentral:rRNA from 1 species
CAGCCGCCGCGGUAAUACGGAGGAUCCAAGCGUUAUCCGGAAUCAUUGGGUUUAAAGGGUCCGUAGGCGGGUAUGUCAGUCAGUGGUGAAAGUCUGCAGCUCAACUGUAGAACUGCCAUUGAUACUGCAUACCUUGAGUAAUUAUGAAGUGGUUAGAAUAUGUAGUGUAGCGGUGAAAUGCAUAGAUAUUACAUAGAAUACCGAUUGCGAAGGCAGAUCACUAAUAAUUUACUGACGCUGAUGGACGAAAGCGUAGGUAGCGAACAGGAUUAGAUACCCUGGUAGUCUACGCCGUAAACGAUGGUUACUAGCUGUUUGGACCGAUUGAGGUCUGAGUGGCUAAGCGAAAGUGAUAAGUAACCCACCUGGGGAGUACGUUCGCAAGAAUGAAACUUAAAGGAAUUGGCGGG